UCUGGUGAUAAUGCCGACGUGGUCACACCCGAUCCCAUUCCGAACUCGGAAGUUAAGCACGUGAGGGCCGAUGAUACUGCUGGGUUACCCCUGUGGGAAAGUAGGACGUUGCCAGGA
rnacentral:rRNA from 1 species